CCACUUUAUGUAUCCAUAUCAAGCUUCUUACAAAGUGAUUCAUCCUGGUUUGAUUGGAACGACGAAGAAGCUGUCCUAUUCCCAAACAGGAUAACUAGAAUCACAUUAUUUGAAAGUGGGAUAACUUCUUCAUCCCAAUUCCUAUGAGAUUUAUUCAACAUCCUCGUGAUUCUCCACCACUUUAUCUAUCCAAAUCAAGCUACUUACAAAGUG
rnacentral:lncRNA from 1 species